UCUUCAUCCAGUUGGACAACUGAUGAGGUCACCAACCAGGAUCUUCAGGGUAUGAGAUGAUAAAUUCAGCUACUGUGCUGCUGGAGCCGACUUAAUAACCGGAUUCCCCUUUAAAACAGGAACCUUAUGGUAAGUAAUUUAGUACAGUCUUUCUCAACCUUUUUUGUACCAGGGAUUAGCAAAAUGUGUUCCUCUUCCUUGGUAGACUGCUUGGAUAGAAACUAGCUUACUACUACUAGCUAACUAAGUUAAUGUCUGCUAACCAUCUGAGGGACUGGCCAGUAAUAGCAAGAAUUUGAAAAACACUUAUCUAGUACACAUUUUUCAUAAACUGUACAAUAAACUUGCUAGCUUAUAUUGUUUACCAGUUUCUGACUGCUUUCAACUGAUGUGGUUCUUUCACAUUAAAAUCGGGAUACAGCUGAACGUCUCAGGAGAUCCAUGCAUUAAAACUCUGAGCAGAUGAGUGUUCAAGAGCAGCUUCUCGCCUAUAAAAACAAGCAUGUCUGUGCAAAUUUAGUUCAGAGUUUGCUGCACUUGGAUUUAACGGAACUUUGAAGCAAUGCAGAGAAAAGUUUUUAAAAAUCUGAAACAGGAAUAAAGAAACCUCAAGGGUGACAACAAGAUGAGUGGUUCCAUCUAUCUUGAAGAAAGCUGUUUUGUCGUCAUCGAUAGAGUCCUCACUCACCUAUCAAAAACUCAGGCUUAUUCCUUUCCAGGAGCAGAAGACUGUUCCCGGUUUAAAGCUGUCCUUACUGUGUCUCCUUGCUCCACCAUUACGCCUGAUGUCAGCAUUCAGGUGGCAAGUGGCUUGGCAGCAUAUUGUAAAGCAUUAUGGGAAACUGGAGGAGUUUGUGACUUUGGUGACAGAGGUGGUUCCAGAGCUGCUGAGUUCUAGGCAGAGGACCCAACUCCUCCUGGGUCUGAGAGCAAGGGUUUGUGAGGUGGAAAUGCAAAGGAUUCUGAUAAACUGGUUCUGGAGUUGUGAGUCAGGGAGAGCACCGGUGACCUUGUCCAUCCAGCCUCACCUAGACAAAAUCCAUUUGUUAACAGAAUACGCUAUACACAAGAAGAGUAAUGAUGAUGAGUUGGAGGCUACAGUCUAACUUUGUGGAGUUGGUCCAAACUCUGCUGGGAGACCCUUCUGAGAGGGAGCACUUCUUCAGGAGGUAUUCCCAGUACAUUACGGCCCUCGGCAUGACACAGCACUGCAGGUACUGGUGUGGGAGUUCCUCUCCAGAUUGGAGGAGCUGCUACCUGUACCAGACUUCAGACAGGUUAUUUGUCUUACUACACUGCAGAUACCAUCCUGUCCCUCCCUCCAACAAUAAGAGUUGUCAUUAGCUCGGAGCAGGCCAGCUCUGACAAAAUGAGGUCAUGCUCAGAUGGAGAUAAAUGCUUCAAGAAUGGGACAGAUAGAGCAGGAGAAGAGAGAGAAGGACAAUCUAAUGGGGUCAGAGAGGAGGAAAAAGAUAGGCAGACUGAAGAGGACUUCUGGUCCGUGUAUCCCAGUACCCAGCAACGGCAAGGAAAUUCAAGUUUGAAUAGUGACAUGGCAUCCCAGGUCCUUGCCUGCUCUCUGCACAUUCUCUCAUAUUAUGUUAAAACUCCACCAGCACAUCAGGAUUAAGCAUGGCGGUGAGGACAGGAAGCUUCUACGCUUUAAAGAAUCUGGGACUGAAAGCACCUUUCCUCAAGCAGCACAAAACUCCCCCAGCGUAUCAGCACUAGGCACCAAAGGAAGAACUGGAAGCGCCUCAACUCUAAAGAAUCUGGGAAUGAUAAUUCCCGUCCCACACGCAGCACAAAACUACUUCACCAGCACAUCAGGACUAGGCACCAAGGGGAUGAAUGGAAGUGUCAACACUCUGAAGAAUCUGGGACAGAAAACUCCCUGGAAAAACGUAAGAAUUCACACAUUUCCAUUCUGUUGUAGCCAGUGUGAGAGAAGAUUCUCGACCAGAUUAGAUCUCAAAAGACAUCAACGAGCUCACACAGGGGAAAGACCAUUCAAAUGCUCUCACUGUGAUGUGUGCAUAUUCACUCAAAAUGCAUGUACACACACACACUGUGGAGAGUCCCUACUCUUGCACCAUUUGUGGGAAGACAUCUGUUCAACAUCUAGCUAGACACAUGCGGCUGCAUAAAAACUAUUUAUGUAGCAUCUGUGGUAAGGCAUUCCUUAGCUCAGGAGAACUAAUGCUGCAUACAUGAUCACACACAGGAGAAUGUCCCUACACCUGUGAAUGUUGUGGAAAGAGUUUCAAAGCAGCAUGCCAUGUUCAGAUUCAUGUACAAAGAUUUCAAGUAGGGGAGUGUCCAUACCCCUGCACCCUGUGCACAACACAUUGUCAUUCUCAUGGAACAUACAAGACAUGUUAAUUCACACGGGUGAGAAACAUCACCAGUGGUCCAAGUGUGGGAAGAGAUUUCUUUAAAGGAAACUCUGAAAACGCAUCUUAAUAUUAAAAGGCAUGGAUUUUAAGAUAUUCCAGAAAGAUCAUAUUAGUUAUGCAUAAAGUCUGGUAGAUGGUGUUACUUCCUACCGUAACCUUAUUUCCCGUACAA